rnacentral:lncRNA from 1 species
UGGCUUGUGCUGCAGAAGUGUGAUUUACCGAUUAAUUGCUCUAUAUUCUCUUGCUCUUGUCCACCUUUGUAUAGGUAAUAAAUUAUAUAUAUGUUAGCUAUUUAGUCCUACAUUCCAAGAUAUAAAUAUAUGCUCUUUGGGAUUGGAUAUACUCCCUCCAUCUCAAAUCAUAAGACAUUCCAAGAAUCUUGAAUAGUCGUCAAAAUAUUUCAAGUUUGACCAAAAUUAUACGAUAAAAUAAUAAAAUUGAUAAUACCAACUAAGUAUCAUUAGAUUCUUCAUUAAUUAUAUUUUUAUAGUAUAUCUAUUUAAUGUCAUAAAUUUUUGUAAUUCUCUCUAUAAUUUUAAUCGAACUUAAGAUGUUUUGACUCUCCAAAAUUUCUGAAAUAUCUUAUAAUUUAGAAUAUAAGGAGUAUAUUCUAAAUCUUUGUACUCUGUUUUCUCUAACUUAAUAUAUUUGAGUCCUUAGUAAAGAAAAAAAAAAUCUUCCAAACUUGGUAACGAAAGAGAAAGUUGAAAGCGGCGGUGUUGCAAAUCAAUUAAUGGCGGCACCGUACGUCGACUAAAAAGAGAGACUUGGUCACAAAGUGUAGGAUCGGAUCUUCCAAGUAGUGUGCAGCAAUCCACCUGUGAAUGGGAACAACUCACCCCCCACCAUGCCCGUUUGGCCGUUUGGAAAAAAAAAAAUGAGCGACCGACCGACCGACGCCAGCCCAGCAGCCGCUGUUCCAUUUCGUUAUGCACCGAAAUUCAGGCCUC